AACGAACGCUGGCGGCAGGCCUAACACAUGCAAGUCGAAGGAGAAGCCCCUUUCGGGGGGUGGACACUGGCGCACGGGUGAGUAACGCGUGGGAAUCUACCCCGGGGUGGGGAAUAACCACUGGAAACGGUGGCUAAUACCGCAUACGCCGUAUUGGGAAAGCUUUAGCGCCCUGGGAUGAGCCCGCGUUAGAUUAGCUAGUUGGUGGGGUAACGGCCUACCAAGGCGACGAUCUAUAGCUGGUCUGAGAGGAUGAUCAGCCACACUGGGACUGAGACACGGCCCAGACUCCUACGGGUGGCAG
rnacentral:rRNA from 1 species